GAUGAACGCUGGCGGCGUGCCUAAUACAUGCAAGUCGAGCGAAGCGGGGACGGGUGAGUAACACGUGGACAACCUCCUAUAUGACUGGGCUAACUUCGGGAAACCGGAGCUAAACCGGAUACUUAUAGAUGGAUCCUCGCUGCAUUAACUAGUUGGGAAGGUAACGACUUACCACGGCAACGAUGCAUAGCCGACCUGAGAGGGAGAUCGACUGAACUGGAACUGAGCAACGGUCCAGGCACCGUCGGAAGGCAGGAGUAGGGAAUCGUCCGCAAUGGGCGAAGGCCUGACGGAGAUACGCCGCGUGAGUGAUGAAGGUCUUCGGAUCGUAAGACUCUGUUAUUAGGAAAGCGGUACCUAAUCAGAAAGCCAGGGCUAACUACGUGCCAGCCGCCGCGGUAAUAC
rnacentral:rRNA from 1 species